GCCCGGAUGGUCUAGUGGUAAGCUUUAUCCAACGAAAUAUUCCACAACCCUUCAUCGUCUAACAAAUUCAUAGGUAUGAUUCUCGCUUUGGGUGCGAGAGGUCCCGCGUUCGAAUCGCGGUUCGGGCC
rnacentral:tRNA from 1 species